GUGCCAGCCGCCGCGGUAAUACCGGCAGCUCAAGUGGUCGUCGCUUUUAUUGGGCCUAAAACGUCCGUAGCCUGUUUGGUAAAUCUGAGGGUAAAUCAACCAGCUUAACUGGUUGAAUUCUGCAGAGACUGCCAGACUAGGGACCGGGAGAGGUGUGGGGUACUCUAGGGGUAGGGGUAAAAUCCUGUCAUCCUAGAGGACCACCAGUUGCGAAGGCGCCACACUGGAACGGAUCCGACGGUCAGGGACGAAGCCUAGGGGCACGAACCGGAUUAGAUACCCGGGUAGUCCUAGGUGUAAACGCUGUGGACUUGGUGUUGGGGAUUCUACGAGUAUGCCCAGUGCCGGAGUGAAGAUGUUAAGUCCACUGCCUGGGGAGUACGGUCGCAAGGCUGAAACUUAAAGGAAUUGGCGGGGGAGCACAGCAACGAGAGGAGCGUGCGGUUUAAUUGAAUUCAACGCCGGAAAACUCACCAGUGCCGACGGACAUAUGAAGAUCAGCGUGAUGAGCUUAUUGGAUUGUUCGAGAGGUAGUGCAUGGCCGUCGUCAGUUCGUACCGUAAGGCGUUCUGUUAAGUCAGAUAACGAACGAGACCCCUACCGUCUAUUUGCUAAACGGAUCUCCGGAUUCGUCGCACUAUAGCGAGACCGCUGGCGUGGAGUCAGAGGAAGGUGGGGGCAACGACAGGUCAGUAUGCUCCGAAUGCACUGGGCUACACGCGCGCUACAAAGGCCAGGACAAUGGGUCUGCCACUUCGAAAGAAGGCGCUAUCCCGAAACCUGGUCGUAGUUCGGAUUGGGGGCUGUAACCCGCCCCCAUGAAGCUGGAUUAGGUAGUAAUCGCGUCUCAAUAAGGCGCGGUGAAUAUGCCCCUGCUCCUUGCACACACCGCCCGUC
rnacentral:rRNA from 1 species